AGCUACUCCAAAGGUGAGGCAGGAGAAUUGCUUGAACCAGGGAGACGGAGGUUGCAGUGAGCCAAGAUCACACCACUGCACUCCAGCCUGGGCAACAGAGGCAGAAUCUCACAACAACAACAACAACAGCAGCAGCAGCAACAACAACAACAACAACAACAAAACAGGGCUGAAAGCGGAGCAGGUUUGGAACUGCUAUAAACGGGAAGUCUCGGUCUUUGCCUUCGCAGAUUGACCCUGAUACAGAAGGCAGAAGAAAUCAGAGAGAAGGAUGGAGUGGGGAAAAGAAGAGGGAGGCUGACAGAGAAGCUUAAAGAAAUGCUUUCAGAUGGCAACAAAAGCCAAAAUAGACAAAUGGGAUUUAAUUAAACGAAAGAGUUUCUGCACAGCAAAAUAAACUAUCAUCAGCGUGAACAGGCAACCUACCGAAUGGGAGAAAAUUCUCACAAUCUACCCAUUUGACAAAAGGCUAAUAUCCAGAAUCUACAAAGAACUUAAACAAAUUUGAAAGAAAAAAAACAAUCCCAUCAAAAAGUGGGCAAAGGAUAUGAACAGACGCUUCUCAAAAUAAGACAUUUAUGCAGCCAACAGACAUAUGAAAAAAUGCUCAUCAUCACUGGUCAUCAGAGAAAUGCAAAUCAAAACCACAAUGAGAUACCAUCUCACGCCAGUUAGAAUGGCAAUCAUUAAGAAGUCAGGAAACAACAGAUGCUGGAGAGGAUGUGAAGAAAUAGGAACGCUUUUACACUGUUGGUGGGAGUGUGAAUUAGUACAACCAUUGUGGAAGACAGUGUGGUGAUUCCUCAAGGAUCUAGAACUAGAAAUACCAUUUGACCCAGCAAUCCCAUUACUGGGUAUAUACCCAAAGGAUUAUAAGUCACACUACUACAAAGACACAUGCACACGUAUGUUUAUUUUGGCACUAUUCACCAUAGCAAAGACUUGGAGCCAACCCAAACGUCCAUCAAUAAUAGACUGGAUAAAGAAAAUGUGGCACAUAUACACCAUGGAAUACUAUGCAGCCACAAAAAAGGAUGAGUUCAUGUCCUUUGCAGGGACAUGGAUGAAGCUGGAAACCAUCAUUCUCAGCAAAAUACCACGAGGACAGAAAACCAAACACUGCAUGUUCUCACUUAUAAGUGGAAAUUGAACAAUGAGAACACAUGGACACAGACAGGGGAACAUCACAUGUGGGGGCCUGCUCGGGGGUGGGGGGCUUGGGGAGGGAUAGCGUUAGGAGAAAUACCUAAUGUAAAUGAGGAGUUGAUGGGUGCAGCAAACCAACAUGGCACAUGUAUACCUAUGUAACAAAACUGCACGUUGUGCACAUGUAACCUAGAACUUAAAGUAUAACUAAAAAAAAAAAAAAAAAAGAAAGAAAAAUAAAGAGUUGUGCUUCAGAAAAAAAAAAAUGCUUUCAGGAUUGCCUCUUCAGACAUGGUUACAAUACAUAUACUCAGUUUUCUUUAUUAACUGGACCAGAUUAAUCUUCAUUAAACUGACUGAACUAGUAAUCUUUUAAUUUUAUGUCAUCAGACAUAAACAUUUGUCUUUUUUUUCGUUUUGCAUUAGCUUAAAUUGGUUUACCUCUCCUGAUAGUCUCCCUAUACCCUUUUUCUUUGUCCUUUAUACUCCAAGUAAAUCAUAUACCAUAUGUGGGAUCAAAUGGGGAGUAAAGUAUCCUCCAUCCUCCUGUCCUCAUUUGCUGUAAACCGGUGUAAAUUCUUACUUGUGCAUCUACAAUCUGUAUUAUUGGGUAUGUUCUUAAUGUAAUCUUUGUUCAGCUGAUAGUUUAUUUCAAAUUAUGAAAUCUGUUUAUAUCAUUACUUGUUUUUCCUAUGACAUGUAGUUUUUCACAAUAGCAAAGAGUUGAUGUGAUUUUUGUAGAUAUGCUAGAAAAUAAAAACUUUUUAAAUAACAUUUUUCAUAGUUAUUUGUUUGCUUUCAAAUUGCCCAAAGUAUAUUGCCAUGGAAACUUGCCUAUUUAGGAUAUUUCAAACAUAUAUUUUAAAAAUAUUGAAAUGUGGUGGUCAUUAAGAUACUCUCCCAAAACCAUAUCUAAACUCUUCCUUCUUUGGAGAAACAAUGAUUAAUAAUAGGUGUCUAGUGGUACCUACGCAUUCUUCAAAGAACACUAUUUUUGUGAUGAUAUGUGCUGUUCAUGUGGUGUGGAUGUGGCACAUUUUUUACUAAGGUUUACAAUAUGAAUUGGACACCUUUCAACAAUGGAUUGAUAUUUGACACACAUCUUGCAAAAUUACCGUGAUACUGGCCUCAUUUUUAGUUGUGACAUCCAGUAUUCUACCCAUUGUCUUACAAACCUCAUAUGCAGGUUUGUACUCAGUAUUUUAAAAUCCUUUGGUUUCUGAUCACAACAAAUCAGUCAUUCUGAACAAAAAUAAAUCUAUUUAUUCCUUUCUCUGGCUUUUCUAAGUGGUGUAAUCAUUUGUAAUUCUUACUGUCUACUCAAAACUGUUGGGGGGCGGGAAUCAACUAAAAAUUCUAUUUCAAUGAUUACAAAAGAUAAUGUCUUCUUUUCUUUGCUUUUGGCAACAUCUUUUCCACUUUCAGAAAAUAAUAAAAAUGGGCCACUUUAGCUCUUCGCCAUCUUCCUAAUACAUGAUUUGAAGUUAAUGACCUAUGGACUGUGUUAUUCUUUAUUAAAUUAGUUUUUUUAAAAUUCCUAGGGAACUUUUCAAAAAUCUUAAGCAAUAUAUUUCUGGCAUCCCCCAAUGUAUACAUUUUAGAACUGGGAAGGGAUUUUUGAAAGCUUCUUUUACUGUUGGCUUUGAAAAUCACUGCUGACUUGUUAUUUUUGUUUUAUAUCUUUGAGCUGGUGCUUCUUAAAAAGUGAUUCUUCAGGACUUUGCAUCAGAAUAACCACCAGGUAUUUUUAAUAUUCAGAUACACCCUAUUUCAGAGCUAUUGAAUCAGGAUCACUGGGGUGGGCCUGGGCACCAGCAUUUUUAACAAAUGCCCCCCAGAACUUCUAAUGCAUUCUGCCAAUUGAAAACAACUGCUUUAACCACUGGGUCAAGAGGCUAUGACUAAUCUUAAAAGUAGUGACACAAUUAAGGUGAGAUGAGAGGACUGAGGUUUGGAGUUGUUAAGCAGCUUUCCCAAAGUCACCUUGCAGGCAGUUAGUUACUACUGGAUGUUUGCCACCAAGAUGGAGCCAACACUGAAAGAGGAAGACAUUAGAAGCUCCCACACAGAUGGCAGGAAUCUCCAGGAUGAGUUAGAGAGCAACCAGUCUAGACUGUAGCAAGUCAGGUUCUGGGGAAGGCUACUUCAUAAGGAUGAGCAAUUUGAGAGAGAUUUAGACAAUCAGCAGUGAGGUUGGGAUUGAAUUGGUAAUAAACACAUGAAAAUUAAGCCAAUGGGACAAUUAAACAAUGCUAGAUGAGAAAGGAAAAGUGUUGAAAGGUUACUAUAGGGCUCAAUUGUGCAGUUUCCACAUAAUCCCAAUAAUGUGAAUUGAAUAUUGAGCUAGACAAAAUUAUGGCAUAACUAUAUUGGAAAUAUGUGUGUGCAUAGAAAAGAGCUAAACCCUCAUUUUCCAUGGCGGGGAGUCAGUGGGUAACGCUGAAACAAAAUUCACCAAGCAGCGUAUCAUCUAGAGACAAGAGGGUAAAUUGAAAAUAAAAAAAAAGCUAAAAGAGGUGCCUGCAAGCACUGUGAGGGGAGUGUCUGCUUUUCUUAUCCUUUUAAAAAAAUUGUAGAAUUGUUUGAUUCUUAAAUCUAUGUGCUUGUAUGCA
rnacentral:lncRNA from 1 species